UACGAAGGGGGCUAGCGUUGCUCGGAAUCACUGGGCGUAAAGCGCACGUAGGCGGGUCUUUAAGUCAGGGGUGAAAUCCUGGAGCUCAACUCCAGAACUGCCUUUGAUACUGAGGAUCUCGAGUCCGGGAGAGGUGAGUGGAACUCCGAGUGUAGAGGUGAAAUUCGUAGAUAUUCGGAAGAACACCAGUGGCGAAGGCGGCUCUCUGGGCCUUUCCUGACGCUGAGACGCGAAAGCGUGGGGAGCGAACAGG
rnacentral:rRNA from 1 species